GGGUGCGCUCCGCAGCCCGGGCCGGCGGGGUGAGGUAGUAGGUUGUGUGGUUUCCGGGCAGUGAUGCCGCCCCUCGGAAGAUAACUAUACAACCUACUGCCUUCCCCGAGGGCCCGGACGCCCCCAGGCGGCCGU
rnacentral:pre_miRNA from 13 species